GCCUGGGUGGCUCAGUCGGUUGAGCAUCCGACUUCGGCUCAGGUCAUGAUCUCACGGUCUGUGGGUUCGAGUCCCGUGUCGGGCU
rfam:Felis catus isolate Cinnamon breed Abyssinian chromosome D2, whole genome shotgun sequence.